CAGAACACCUGUUUCCAAGAACGGGGUUUCCCUUGAGUGGACUCUUUUCCUUGAUAUGCCUUUUCUAAUAGCCACAUAACACCAUCUCGAAAGGUUACAACUUUCUUCAUAUCAGCUAUGUUUCUCAUUGUGUUUUCCUGAGGUAUCCUUGAUACUCUGCGGGAAGUACCCAGGAGCAGCAAGAAACACUGAAUUUUGGAGUCUUAUCUGGAAAAGACUUGGAAUUGUAAUCCCCCACUUACUGACUGUAAGAGCCUUGGAUCUGUUCCUGAAAACAUGGUGUUCAAGUUGAACAUAUGAAAACAGAACUUCUUUCUUCUUCAAUGGAAGUGACACCUAACAAUUUGGAUUUAGAUUUCUCUGCCUCUUACAUCUACUGCUUGAUAAUGUAGAAACCAACAUUCAAAUCCAGGGAAGCAAAUCCUUUUUUAAAAGAUUUGAUUAAAUUAUCUGAGGAUAAAUUGUGCCUUGUUUUUUAUUUUUAACUAUAUUUUUGAGAGGGAGCUUCACAAACUCUUUAUUAUUCCCUUAAGAUCCAACUUUUGGUUCUUAUGACAUCAGUUUCAGAUGAGGACGCACAAGUCACUGUUCCCAUUACUAUAUUGGGAGGGUGGGGUUCUGAAAAUGUGCAAUGUGAGUGGUGAGUCUUUGCUGGAAGGGUACUAUCUUCUCAUCUACCAAAGGGAAGGUGAGUAGAAAAUUCCUAAAACUAAAAAAUCAAGAAGUGGCAGUAUCUAUUUGUUAUUUAAAAAUAUCAAGGUUAAUAGCAAAUAAAUCUACUAAAUUGAAUUUAAAAUGAUGACCUACAUCAAGAAAUACCAUAAGUCAAGUAAAAAGAUCAGUGACAAAAUGGGAAAAAAUAUUUGCAACUUAAAUGUCAGACAAAGGUUAAUUUCCAUGGUAUAUAAAGUUUCUCAAAAAGGAUAAUUAAAAAGGUCAGCAAUCACAGAAGAAUCAGCUAGAGAUAUCAAUAAUUAUUAGAAAAAGAAAUGCAAAUGGCCCUU
rnacentral:lncRNA from 1 species